GUGCUCGCUUCGGCAGCACAUAUACUAAAACUGGAACGAUACAGAGAUUAGCACGGCCCCUGCUCAAGGAUGACACACAAAUUUGUGAAGCGUUCUAUAUUAAA